rnacentral:lncRNA from 1 species
UUUCUUUUUCUCAGCUCAUUCGUUUUUUGUUUCUCGGAAACCAAACAAGCAGCGACGACGAUUGAAUACCUGUUUGGUGGACAAGGUGCAGUUGCGGUUGAAUUCAUCCAUGAAGGCGAAGGAGCCAUGAUCUUCACUUUCUCAAAGGCUUUGCUCAUCUUUUCCAUUGCUUUCCCACACUUUCUCGGGAAAAUGGGAAAACAGAAAACGCUGGAUCUGUGGUUAAACUAGUACUAAACUUGCUUCGAUUUUCAGAAAAUUUACGAUAGGGAUUUUGAUUUUGAUUUUGAU